AUUAAAUUCUCCCGGCUAUUGGAAUGAAUCCGAAGCCUGUACGUGGAUAAUAUAGGCUGUCCAUUUUCGAAUUAGCAUGUACCUCCAAAUGUCUGAGCUUCAGUAUACGGAAAACCUAAUAUUUUGUUGGGGGAAGAUGGCUGGAUUGAUGUGG
rnacentral:ribozyme from 1 species